rnacentral:rRNA from 1 species
GGGUGUGAUCAUACCAGUGUUAAUGCACCGGAUCCCAUCAGAACUCCGCAGUUAAUCGCGCAUGGGCCAGAGUAGUACUGGGAUGGGUGACUUCCUGGGAAGUCUUGGUGUUGCACCCU